rnacentral:rRNA from 1 species
UACGUAGGGGGCAAGCGUUGUCCGGAUUUAUUGGGCGUAGAGAGCGUGUAGGCGGUUAGGUAGGUCCGUUGUGAAAACUCGAGGCUCAACCUCGAGACGCCGAUGGAAACCAUCUGACUAGAGUCCGGAAGAGGAGAGUGGAAUUCCUGGUGUAGCGGUGAAAUGCGCAGAUAUCAGGAAGAACACCCGUGGCUAAGGCGGCUCUCUAGUACGUGACUGACGCUGAGACGCGAAAGCGUGGGGAGCGAACAGG